rnacentral:rRNA from 1 species
GAUGAACGCUGGCGGCGUGCCUAAUACAUGCAAGUCGAGCGAACGGACGAGAAGCUUGCUCCUCUGAUGUUAGCGGCGGACGGGUGAGUAAGACGUGGAUAACCUACUUAUAAGACUGGGAUAACUUCGGGGAACAGGAGCUAAUAACGGAUAAUAUUUUGAACCGCAUGGUUCAAAAGUGAAAGACGGUUUUGCUGUCACAUAUAGCUGGAUCCGCGCUGCAUUAGCUAGUUGGUAAGGUAACGGCUUACCAAGGCAACGAUGCAUAGCCGACCUGAGAGGGUGAUCGGCCACACUGGAACUGAGACACGGUCCAGACUCCUACGGGAGGCAGCAGUAGGGAAUCUUCCGCAAUGGGCGAAAGCCUGACGGAGCAACACCGCGUGAGUGAAGAAGGUCUUCGGAUCGUAAAACUCUGUUAUUAGGGAAGAACAUAAGUAGAAGUAACUGUGCCUAUUUUGACGGUACCUAAUCAAAAAGCCCCGGCUAACUACGUG